UCCUUGAGGAAAAGUCUGCGUCUCUCUGUGUUGCUCAGGCUGCACUGCAGUGUCUAUUCACAGGCGCGAUCCCACUACUGAUCGGCACGGGGGCUUUGACCUGCUCCGUCUCCGACCUGGGCCGGUCAAAGCCCCCGUGCUGAUCAGUAGUGGGAUCGCGCCUGUGAAUAGACACUGCAGUGCAGCCUGAGCGACACAGAGAGACGCAGACUUU